UCUGCCAGCGUGGUAAACUGACCAUGUGAUGCGUUCUUGCAUUCCUCCUAAAGCCUGCUCUGAUUGCAUUGUUUUUUCCUGACUUGCAGAUCUGGUCCUGUGUGGCAACACUCUUGGAUUCCUAAGUUCCUGUUCUCCGUAUCAUGGUCAGGGGAGCAUUGGAAACCAUAUCCAGCCGUGAGUCUCCUUUCCAGUCCUGCCUCCAGCCCAGCCGCUCAAGAACCACUUUGUGGGAACACCUACGUAUCGCUCACCUGUCGGUCCACCCUCCCACACCGCACGCUCAAGCACAACAGAGCAACUCCAAGAUCGCACAGAAGGAACAAAAGAACAGUGCUCCGUUCCACAUUAUCUGACAGUCUACCCCAACAAGCCUCCAUCACUCAACAUCAAUACCGUUGGCAGUUCCAGUCGAGGCUUAAACCCUAACUGCUUGCAUAAUCAAACUGUUAAAACGCUGUCCUGUCCUGUCCUUGUGGUUGUGUAACUUCCAGAGUCCAGUAAAUUCAACAUUAUGACUGCAUGGUGCCAUGGGGAUGUUUCACUACCAGUGACACUGGUGCAUUACACAAAGUGGAUAAAGGAAUCAAGAAGGACAUUUGUCUUCAAGUUCUUGUAUGUUACCUCAAAUCAACAACUAAAUGGUUGAAACUUGUACAAGGUUGGUUUCUCCAACAGGACAAUGAUUCCAAACACUUAUCAGAACUGGUUUUGAAAUGGUCUCCCAAAAGUGCUCACCUCAGCCCAGUAUUUAUGGACCAUUCUUGAAAGCUGUCUGUGCCAGGAAACCAGGAGACUCUACUAAUUCAGCCAAAAACCUGGUCAAAUGUAUUCAGAAAGAAGUAUGCCCAAAGAGUAACAUUAAUGCCAUUAAUAAUUAUUAAGGAGUGUAUUUGUAUCUUUAAGGCUGUAUUUUCAUUCUGUGUUAAUCAGAGAAAAUCCACAAUAAAAUCAUAAUUGUGCAUCUA